UGUGGGGCCAGGGAGCGGCGCAUGGAUACGGCUGGUGAGACCCACCUCCCUUCCAGGCGUGGGGUGAGGAGGAAAUAAUCCUUGUGGACGCUGACCCUGUCUGGAGCUGUGUCUAGAGAUAAUUAUUUCCUAACAUGUAACCUUUUCAUGGUCAAUUGCCUCAGUAUAUUAGACAGAAAUGUGAUUUCCUUCUAUCUUCAGACACACAAGCUCUUGUCCUUCCCACUUGAAGGAUGUAACUUAGCAAGCUCACAGACAACCCCAUGCUUUCCAGCAAAUUUUGUUCCUGCUUUGCUUAAAUGGAAAAGAGAUCUGCUGCUUUCCUUGCCACCGAGCAGAAGGGAUGCAGAAUAGGCCCACUCCCAUGCUUUUUGGCAGACAGGGCUCUGCCUUUAAGAAUUUAAUACUGAUCAGGUAACAGUUGGUGUUUAGCAAUCUUCUGCUCCACCAGAUUCAUCUCAUGUUGACGGAAUCCGGUUUACCUUUUGCUAGCUUGUGAUGCUUCAGUGUCUGCCCCUUGACACAUCACCGAGGCAUCAGAAGAGGCAAAAUCAGCAGAGUAUGUCAGUACAGCUGCUCGGAAGGCAUCGGGUUUGAUGCAGUCAGGAACAUCAGAAUGGGCAGCCAGGGGUGAAGGCAGUUCUCUUGUGUGACCUCAUGAGCCCACCCCACUUCUGCCCAAAGUGCCGUGGCUGGGGACUGCCACAAAGUGCUCCUGGAAGGGCACUGUCCCUCCUCCUUCACCCACGUGCUCCUCCUUGCUUCUUGGGGGUUACAGCGCAUUCAGCAGAGACUUGGGCACAUCACCCAGAGCUGGUCCCUUUGAGGAACAACCCGAAUUCUUAAGGCAUUACCAUGGGAAUUUUCCCUUUCUUGGGAUUGUAACAGAGCUCUAGGACUAGUUGUUUUUGUGAUGUGCUUCUUGACUGGCUGGAGCGGCCCUCAUUCAGGAACUCCAUCCAAGCAUCUCCUGCAGAGAAUGAAACCAUCAGCUGUCCUCGAAGCGGUGCUCCAUACCGCGGUGACGCACAACGGUUCAAGUAACUGUGAUUUUAAGAACAUCUCCAGUCCAUGUCAUGAAGGAAAGGCUUUGGGAAUGGGGAGAUUGUGCAGAACUGGUCUGUGGUGUACCUGUGGCACACAGAGCAGCCGGAGCUGUCCCUCAAGCAGGGGAGAGAGCAGAGCUGAUGCGUUAAGUGUGAGGUGUGUAUGUGGGAGCAGGCUGGGAACCAGCUGAGACCUUAUCCUCGUACCUCUUCACAGUGAAGUUCUUGUUCAAAGUUCUAUUGGAAAAAUGAAUCGAAUCCUACCUCUCUACACUCAGGCAACAGCAACACUCAAGACAACCUGCAGCUUUGUCAGGAAGAGGGAGUGUGUCUCAGGGACUCGCUGCCCGUGCACCGAGCACUUUAUCACAGGGUUUAUAAAAUGAUGGAGAGGCAGGAGCAGAAGAGCCCCUUGUGCUAUGACAGCUUAUGGGAGAGCAGUACAGGAGGAAAAACUCUAUUUGGUGGAGAAGCUGCCCUGCGCUGGCAGAUUGCUCCUGCAGCCACAGACUGCAAUGUUGGCUCCCUGUUGUACAGCAGUGCUUUCUGCACGGUUUUGCAUUCUGUGCCCGGUCUGUGUUGUCUGAAAUAAAACAAAGUCAGGAUUUAUGGCUGUGGUGCAAGAGCCGGGUGGUUAAAGUUUUAUGGACUUCUUGUUUGAGUCACAGUAACAGGGUGGCUGUAAAUCUUGGCAGUGGUGUCUAUAGUCAUCUAAAGGGAGUGCAUGUCUGAUACCAACAAAAUGAUUUCUUUUAUUGCCAGUAACGAUGCCUACAGCAUACAAAUCCUUUCUGUGCCUGACCAACCCCUGACUCUCAUGUGUCCGUGUCUCCUGUUUGGUGCCUGUUGAACCACCAGAUGGCACUUGGUUACUCUGAAUUCGCUUUUUCCUCUGCUCUAACUUAGUCACUGGUAACUGCUUUUAUGUCUGGGUAUUGCUCUUUUAAUUCUGAGUUAAUUCUUUUCUUAUUUUGCUGUUAAUUUAGA